UUUCGCGCGAAGAUUCUCCUCCAGCUGCUGGUGGUAGUAGUAGUAGUAUUUAACUUCACCGACGGCAGGCGCUUCGGUCCCAAACGAAAUCGCUAGGCCGUUGCGCCACCCUUCCGCCGCCGCGUGCGCGCCAUUUAAGCAGGCAGGCGAUCAGCUCUCCACCACGCCACUGUCCCGACGAGAGCAGGAGCUAGCUCGCGUCGAGUCAUAUUUUCUGCCUAAGGUCGGGGUCGCGCCGUACGACGCAGGCGCUGCUUGGAGAUGGAGCUGGUGCUGGUGAUCUCGCUGCCGCUCGUGGCCCUCGUCGUCAUCGUCGCCAUCAUCCUCUGCAUCAUCUGCCGCUGAUCGCAGACGAUGGCCUCUUCAGCCUGCACGGCCGUAUGCGUUGCGACGCCGGCGUCGCCUGCUCAUCAGUACCUCAAUUGUUUUGUAACCACAAAUUAAACACAUAAAGAACCAUCUUGCUGUGUCUGCACCAACAGCUUGUCUUCGUAACCAAGCGACUAGAGAUUUCUCCAGCGUUUCGAGUGAGUCUUGAUGUGGCCACAGAUGUGGGUAAGCUUGUACUAUCAGUUCACUGAUGAGUGACGAGAUUGCCAGUCCGUUAGAGGAUUC